GGGGCCGUAGCUCAGCUGGGAGAGCACCUGCUUUGCAAGCAGGGGGUCGAGGGUUCGAAUCCCUUCGGCUCCACCA
rnacentral:tRNA from 1 species